UUUAUUUAGAGAGUUUGAUCCUGGCUCAGGAUGAACGCUGGCGGCGUGCUUAACACAUGCAAGUCGAACGAAGCACUUGAAACAGAUUCUUCGGAUGAAGUUUCCUGUGACUGAGUGGCGGACGGGUGAGUAACGCGUGGGUAACCUGCCUCAUACAGGGGGAUAACAGUUAGAAAUGGCUGCUAAUACCGCAUAAGCGCACGGCAUCGCAUGAUGCAGUGUGAAAAACUCCGGUGGUAUGAGAUGGACCCGCGUUGGAUUAGCUAGUUGGCAGGGUAACGGCCUACCAAGGCGACGAUCCAUAGCCGGCCUGAGAGGGUGGACG
rnacentral:rRNA from 1 species